rnacentral:rRNA from 1 species
AGCGAACGCUGGCGGCAGGCCUAACACAUGCAAGUCGAACGAACUCUUCGGAGUUAGUGGCGGACGGGUGAUUAACACGUGGGAACGUGCCUUUUGGUUCGGAAUAACUCAGGGAAACUUGUGCUAAUACCGAAUGUGCCCUUCGGGGGAAAGAUUUAUCGCCAUUAGAGCGGCCCGCGUCUGAUUAGCUAGUUGGUGAGGUAACGGCUCACCAAGGCGACGAUCAGUAGCUGGUCUGAGAGGAUGACCAGCCACACUGGGACUGAGACACGGCCCAGACUCUUACGGGAGGAAGCAGUGGGGAAUCUUGAGCAAUGGGCGAAAGAAUGACGCAGCCAUGCCGCGUGAAUGAUGAAGGUCUUAGGAUUGUAAAAUUCUUUCAACGGGGACGAUAAUGACGGUACCCGGAGAAGAAGCCCCGGCUAACUUCGUG